UGGGGAUAUGGAUUGAUAACAAAUGGACAUGGGAUCUCAGAUGGGCAAGGGACUUGGAAGGGUUUUUAUUGGUUCAACGAGAUGAGUUACUGCAAUUAAUUUCUUCAUUUACGCCAAUGAGAGGUAGGAGGGACAGCUGGACCUGGAUAAAGGAAAAUGAUGGGAAAUUUUCGGUAAAAUCGGCGUAUGAUAUGAUAGUGGUCAGUAAUUCUGAGAUGGAGGAGGAAGUAUUUAAAAUCCUUUGGAGGGUUCCAGCUCCCUCAAAUGCUAUAUUAGUGGGUUGGAAGUUGCUCAUUAACCGUAUUCAGUCCAAGGAAAAUUUAGAUAAAAGGAAUGUUCAUUUGGCUGAUUUGUUGUGUCCCCUUUGUUCAUCUGCAACUGAAUCUGCUGACCAUUUAUUUUUCAAUUGUUUGAGAGCUUGGCAGGUGUGGUCGUUGUGUGCUAAUUGGCUGGGUAUUUGGUUGGUGUUCACUAAUACUUCUAAGGAUCACUUUAUUCAAUUUGUUUCCUGUUUGGGUUCUAGUUUCAGGAGUGGUUUAUCACUCAUUUGGUUAGCAAUUGUUUGGCAUAUUUGGACUGGUAGGAAUGGGGUGGUUUUUAGGGAAGAAGAAUUUGAUGCUGUCAUAGUUUUUGAUCUUGCAAGGAAGAAGGCGUGGGAGUGGUUGAGGGCCAAGAAUAGUCAAUUUUGUCAUGCAUUAUCUGAGUGGUAUAUGGAACCUGUUGUGUGCCUUGGUGACAUGUAAUUUGGUAUCUUGUCUUAAGGUUUCUUUUCACGCAUGGUGAGUAUUGGUGUUUGAAAUAUGGUGUUGGGAGUCUUAUUGGAAGCUGUUCUUUAUUUUUGGGGUUCUACUCGAGCAUUAGUAUUUUGGAUACAUGUUUGGUGAAGGCUUUGGAGGUUUAUUCUGCUGGCAGAUUUGGUUUGACUCUGGAUCAGUGGGUUUUGGAUUUUGUUUAUAUUGUUUUUCUCUUGAUUUCUUGGUGGUGUUUUUGUAAUCUUUUUCUGUUUUUCCUUUUAUCACUUUUUGUAUUGGGUUGAAGUACCCCUUGUACUUGUCUUUAAUAUGAAAUUAUUGCCUAUCAAAAAAAAGACUCACUCAUAAAUGCGUUUUCUCUUUCUCUCCACCCCAACCUCCCCUUUAAUGUCGCGUCUCUUCUUAUUCAUUUUUUUUUCUCCCUCUCUUAUUUUCCCUUCUUCAUUUUUCUCGAUUUGCUUCCUUCUUUUUCUGUUUAGCCGUGCACCUAUUCCCACUAAUGCACUCAUGCAUCACCAUAAUUCAUCCCAAUAUAUUUUGAAUUUGAAAUUCAAAAUUUUCUCAAACUGUUCCCAAUCUGUUUUAUCAUUUUUCCUCAUUCCAAUUAAUUUCUUCCAUCCAUUCCCUUAAUCAAUAACCCUUUUGAAAAUUUAAAUUUAAACUUGCUCUUCCCAAUCAAGCUGUAAUCCAACUGUACACCAUCCAGCUUUGGAAACACGCACCACAUUGAAUCUUCUUCCAAGCUUCCACACAAGCUUUUAAAUCUUCUUCCAUCCCAAAUCACCAUGCGACACAAGCUUCAAAAAUUUCUCUAGCUUAUUUUGGAUUCAAUUUCUCUAAUUUAAUUUCAUCUAAAAAAUCUACAGCAUUUCUUCCCCAAUCUUCUCAUGCCCUUAACGUUUUAUUAUCAUCGUCAGCUCCGCACCAUCACCAUUCGCCAGUUAACAAUUGUUCCUUCUCCGAUCUCUCUCAGGCCCUUCGCAAAUUCGGCGAAUUUCAGAACAAGUGAACUGUUGUGUGCGAAAGGGUUCAAGCUUUAUUGCUCACUUGAUAGAGAAAUGGAUGUGAGCACUUCGCCUAUGGUGGAUUAUGCUGUUGCAGAGUGCUUAAGUGGUUGUAACUGUAGUUUGUUGUUGCUACUGUUGCAGAGGAGAAACACUCAGCAAAGAAAAAGAAAGAAAAAAUAAAAAGGUGAUAAAAUGUACCUGCAGUAUAGAUUGUGAUUGAUUAGAAAAAUGAGAUUAAUACAGUAUGUGAAGAGUGCAUUUUUAAUCAUGUCAAACAGCUUUUCAUUACUCUUUGUUUGUAUUUAUUUCGUUGGGAACCAAGCCAAACUUUUGCUCAGUUCUAAUCCAUUAUAUAAUUUUCUGUUUGAGGAAGUCGGUGACGUGCUUGCAGAAUUGAAAGAAUAUGGUCUGAAGAGGAAAGGUACUGCUGAAUUCCUUCAACAAGUAACUUCAAAAAAGGAUCAGGAGUGGGUGCACAAAGAAAUUUUCAGGUAAAGGUAUCUUUUGAAGCUAUGGCAGUUCCAACAUUCAUGCAAAGCAUACUGUUACCAUCUAAUUCAUUGCUUCAGAACAUUUGUAAAUUGUAUGCUGUAAGUUUUUACAAUUUUCAAAUUGUUUUAUUUAUUUAAAUUGGGUAAUUUUGUUGAUUGAGUAUUUUCAAGGAUGAGAAAAAUCCAAUCUUGAUUGCUUUCAUAUAUGUAGAAAUUUAUUACUAAUAUUCUCUUUGACUUGCUUUCUUUUGCUGGACUAGGUGGCUUUAUUUCUGGGCCCAGGAAGAUUUAUUCCUAUCACUAUUAAACUCCACUAUAAUUACAGAACUUCUUCUUAUUUGAUCAUGAAGAAAACUUAGAGAAGAACUGCGAAACUUUUGUGCAAACUAUAAUUGCAGAACCUAUUUUAAUAUUUUUUCUUCUUUAGUGGGUUCGUUUUGUACUAACUAUUCAUUGGAUCUCCAUGAUUUGUUGCAUGUGAAUAUCCGCAGGAAAGUGGAGAUGAUAUUUUAAUCAUCAAUUUGCAAACAAUAUUUUAGAUAAUAGAUACUACAUAUGUGCCCCCAACAGAAAGAGAUUUGGAUUCAAAUGGUAAAGAUCCAGAAGUAUGCUCAUAUUGUUUCCACUUACUAUCUUUGCAUUGUGACUAUCAAUAGCCCCACCCUACAAAUACUAGAGGAAAUGGUUAGAGACUUAUUUUAGAUUUCAAUCCAGAUAAAUGAGUUUGUCCGUCUAAGUCAGAUGAAUCAGACUUAUUUAAAAUUUUGCACUCAUGUUCAUUUUAUAAUUUAUAUGUUAGUGAUUUAUCAUGUUCUUCUUCGUUUUCUUUAGAUGGUGAACCAAUUUGAAUCAAGUUUGAAAUAGAUUGUUUUUCUGCAAAGAAAUCUCAGUGCCUGGUUUAUUCUUCUAAUUUUAAACUGAUCCUGUAUUGAUUCACUUCAGCUGCUUCUGGCUUUUCAUUUUUCUAUGCUCUUUUAGCCAACCUUUUUUAACUCUUAUUCCUUUUAGAGAAUUUUGUCAUCUAUUCCGUACCCUUUUUAAAUUGCGUCUUUGUGUGGAAUCCUAAUGCAGAAUGGAGUGAUGUUUAAGCAUAUGGUUUCACUAGAAGAAUGAACCUGGACAUGAUUCUCUAAAGAAGGAAGUGGCUUCACCAAGAACUUGACCAAAGUUAGAUGAAUGUGUUUUUCACAUAGUUAAGUUUCUGGUAUUAAUUUUUAUAGUACUUUUCACUUACUUUAUGUCACUCACAGAAAUGGGUUCUGAAAUCAUGUACAUUUUUCUGAGUUCAGGUUGGAGUGUUUAACUGACUUGAGAACAUUUGGUUUUCUGGGGUGUUUUAUGUGUGCUUAAGUAACACAUUUAGUUUUGGGGCAGCCAAAUUAGUUUGAAGUUCAUAUUGUUUCUUUUAAGUAUUAUCUCUUAUGGUAACUCAUUUCCUUCAUGAAUUGUUAUACGGUGGUAGUAUGGCUUAUAUGUUGGCUGCCAUUUUCAUUUACUGGUUUGAUUACAUCUGGUACUUGAAAUUGACAAUGGGUUUGAUGUAUAAUUUUAGGGAACUAUUUAUGCUAUGCACAUGGUUCAAAUUGCUUUGUUUGUAGUGCUGGAAUCUCUUUUUUACAGUAAAAGAAGUGCCUUUGUUGGAUGGCAGAAGCUGAAGUUGGAGCUGGAUUUCAAUUGUAUUUGUACUGAUUCCAAGAAUAAAUUAGAGAUUUUUGUCAGAUUUUUGUAAAAUAAUUGUGUGAUGAACCUAGAAGAAUGAACCUGGACAUGAUUCUCUAAAGAAGGAAGUGGCUUCACCAAGAACUUGACCAAAGUUAGAUGAAUAUGUUUUUCACAUAGUUAAGUUUCUGGUGUUAAUUUUUAUAGUACUUUUCACUUACUUUAUGUCACUCACAGAAAUGGGUUCUGAAAUCAUGUACAUUUUUCUGAGUUCAGGUUGGAGUGUUUAACUGACUUGAGAACAUUUGGUUUUCUGGGGUGUUUUAUGUGUGCUUAAGUAACACAUUUAGUUUUGGGGCAGCCAAAUUAGUUUGAAGUUCAUAUUGUUUCUUUUAAGUAUUAUCUCUUAUGGUAACUCAUUUCCUUCAUGAAUUGUUAUACGGUGGUAGUAUGGCUUAUAUGUUGGCUGCCAUUUUCAUUUACUGGUUUGAUUACAUCUGGUACUUGAAAUUGACAAUGGGUUUGAUGUAUAAUUUUAGGGAACUAUUUAUGCUAUGCACAUGGUUCAAAUUGCUUUGUUUGUAGUGCUGGAAUCUCUUUUUUACAGUAAAAGAAGUGCCUUUGUUGGAUGGCAGAAGCUGAAGUUGGAGCUGGAUUUCAAUUGUAUUUGUACUGAUUCCAAGAAUAAAUUAGAGAUUUUUGUCA